CAGUCGCCACGGGAAUACGUAGGUGGCAAGCGUUGUCCGGAAUUAUUGGGCGUAAAGGGCUCGCAGGCGGUUUCUUAAGUCUGAUGUGAAAGCCCCCGGCUCAACCGGGGAGGGUCAUUGGAAACUGGGAAACUUGAGUGCAGAAGAGGAGAGUGGAAUUCCACGUGUAGCGGUGAAAUGCGUAGAGAUGUGGAGGAACACCAGUGGCGGAGGCGACUCUCUGGUCUGUAACUGACGCUGAGGAGCGAAAGCGUGGGGAGCGAACAGGAUUAGAUACCCGUGUAGUCCCUGUCUCUUAUAC
rnacentral:rRNA from 1 species